rnacentral:rRNA from 1 species
ACAUCCAGCGAACUUGGCAGAGAUGCCUUGGUGCCUUCGGGAACGCUGAGACAGGUGCUGCAUGGCUGUCGUCAGCUCGUGUUGUGAAAUGUUGGGUUAAGUCCCGCAACGAGCGCAACCCUUUAUCCUUUGUUGCCAGCGAUUCGGUCGGGAACUCAAAGGAGACUGCCGGUGAUAAACCGGAGGAAGGUGGGGAUGACGUCAAGUCAUCAUGGCCCUUACGAGUAGGGCUACACACGUGCUACAAUGGCGCAUACAAAGAGAAGCGACCUCGCGAGAGCAAGCGGACCUCAUAAAGUGCGUCGUAGUCCGGAUCGGAGUCUGCAACUCGACUCCGUGAAGUCGGAAUCGCUAGUAAUCGUGGAUCAGAAUGCCACGGUGAAUACGUUCCCGGGCCUUGUACACACCGCCCGUCACACCAUGGGAGUGGGUUGCAAAAGAAGUAGGUAGCUUAACCCUCGGGAGGGCGCUUACCACUUUGUGAUUCAUGACUGGGGUGAAGUCGUAACAAGGUAAGCGUAGCGAG